rnacentral:lncRNA from 1 species
UUGCAGGGAUUAAAAACAACUUCACUCAGAAUAAAAGUGAAAAAAUGUAGGCUUUCUUUGAAAUUCUUUGAUUCUGAGUUAUUUUUAAAUGAUUAGUAAAUAUUCCCUUGUCCCACAAGAAAAAAACUCUAUGUAAGAAAGCUGUAAUAGUGCAAAAUUCAGUGUGUAAGUAAUGGCCACACAAUUUUCCUCUUCAGGCUCAAAUACUGAAUUUAAUUGAACUGGUUGUCUAGAUUUUUAGCCUAAUCUUCCUGUGAGUAGCCCUCGAAAUUCUAACAAAAAGCAAGGUACCUUUCCCAAAACUGUUUGCUUGACAGAGGCAAACCACACUGCCAUAGGAGGACUAAGUGAAUGCUGAAAAAUGUUUUCAGCGUGCUCCAGACAAAGCUGGGGUUUGUUUAGACAAUCAGGGAUCAAUAAUGUUACACAGUGAAACCUGCAUCCCCUGGUUCCCAAGAACUUUUCAAGGACACAUCUCAUUUGGCUAUUUGACAGGUAUGAUCCUGUAUUUUAGAUAAAUAGCUCAAUGAAACAAUCAUGUGAUCAGAAGAGAAAUUCAGAAGAUC